rnacentral:tRNA from 1 species
GGUGGUGGCUCAGUGGUAGAGCGCUUGCCUAGUGUGUGUGUGAGGCCCUGGGUUCAAUUCUCAGCACCACCU